ensembl:lncRNA
AUGGGGAAAUCGUGUGGCGGUGGGACAUGCAUUUAUAUAAGUGAAGGGUGGUGUACAGAUGUAACUGUGUUAAAGAAGAUGUGCUGUCUCGAUCUAGAAGCACUCUUCAUUAACUGUAAACCGUUCUACUCUCUACGGGAGUUUUGCUCGUUCAUUCUUGUGAGUGUUUACAUUCCUCUGCAUGCGGACGUGAGCCUGGCUUUGCAAAAACUCGCUGAUCAGAUCACAGAGACAGAGCAACAACACCCGGACUCUGUUUUAAUCAUUCUCUGGGACUUUAAUAAAGCAAAUCUUUCCCGUGAACUGCCAAAAUACAGACAGCAUAUUACAUGUCCCACCAGAGACAGUAAUAUAUUGGAUCACUGUUACACAGCAAUAAAGGAUGCAAAGCACUCUGUUCCACGGGUAGCUUUGGGGCUCACUGAUCACUGCCUGGUUCAUAUUAUACCAACCAACAGGAAAAAACUAAAAUCUGUUAAACCUGUAGUAAGGACUGUAAAGAGAUGGACCAAUGAAACAGAGUGGGCUUUACAAGCCUGUUUCGACUGUGAUUGGACUGUUUUUGAAGCUGCUACCACCAAUCUGGACGAACUCACAGAGACUGUAACAUCCUCAUUUGAAAAACUGUUUCUGGUUUAUCUGAAGGACAUCACUGGACCCUUACUGGACCCCCUGCAGUUUGCUUACAGGUCCGUGGAUGAUGCAGUCAACAUGGGACUGCACUUCAUCCUGCAACAUCUGGAUAAAACAGGGACUUAUGUGAGGAUCCUGUUUGUGGACUUUAGUUCGCCUUUCAACACCAUCAUCACCCUCCAGACCAAACUGACCCAGCUCUCUGUUCCUAGCUCUAUCUGUCAGUGGAUCACCAGCUUUCUGACAGAUAGGCAGCAGUUAGUUAGACUGGGGAAAUUCAUGUCAAACAGCCACUCCACCAACAAUGGUGCCCCUCAGGGAUGUGUUCUCUCCCCACUGCUCUUCUCGCUGUACACCAACGACUGCACCUCUAAAGACACCUCUGUUGAGAUCCUGAAGUUCGCAGAUGACACUACAGUCAUCGGUCUCAUCCAGGACGGCGACGAGUCUGCUUACAGACAAGAGGUUGAGCUGCUGGCUGUCUGGUGA